AUUGAACGCUGGCAGCAGGCCUAACACAUGCAAGUCGAGCGGUAGAGAGAAGCUUGCUUCUCUUGAGAGCGGCGGACGGGUGAGUAAUGCCUAGGAAUCUGCCUGGUAGUGGGGGAUAACGUUCGGAAACGGACGCUAAUACCGCAUACGUCCUACGGGAGAAAGCAGGGGACCUUCGGGCCUUGCGCUAUCAGAUGAGCCUAGGUCGGAUUAGCUAGUUGGUGGGGUAAUGGCUCACCAAGGCGACGAUCCGUAACUGGUCUGAGAGGAUGAUCAGUCACACUGGAACUGAGACACGGUCCAGACUCCUACGGGAGGCAGCAGUGGGGAAUAUUGGACAAUGGGCGAAAGCCUGAUCCAGCCAUGCCGCGUGUGUGAAGAAGGUCUUCGGAUUGUAAAGCACUUUAAGUUGGGAGGAAGGGCAGUAAAUUAAUACUUUGCUGUUUUGACGUUACCGACAGAAUAAGCACCGGCUAACUCUGUG
rnacentral:rRNA from 1 species